rnacentral:rRNA from 1 species
AGCGAACGCUGGCGGCAGGCCUAACACAUGCAAGUCGAACGGACCCUUCGGGGUUAGUGGCGGACGGGUGAGUAACUCGUGGGAACGUGCCUUUAGGUUCGGAAUAGCUCCUGGAAACGGGUGGUAAUGCCGAAUGUGCCCUUAGGGGGAAAGAUUUAUCGCCUUUAGAGCGGCCCGCGUCUGAUUAGCUAGUUGGUGAGGUAAUGGCUCACCAAGGCUACGAUCAGUAGCUGGUCUGAGAGGAUGACCAGCCACAUUGGGACUGAGACACGGCCCAAACUCCUACGGGAGGCAGCAGUGGGGAAUCUUGCGCAAUGGGCGAAAGCCUGACGCAGCCAUGCCGCGUGAAUGAUGAAGGUCUUAGGAUUGUAAAAUUCUUUCACCGGGGACGAUAAUGACGGUACCCGGAGAAGAAGCCCCGGCUAACUUCGUGCCAGCCGCCGCGGUAAAAC